UACAGAGGGGGCAAGCGUUGUUCGGAAUUACUGGGCGUAAAGGGCGCGUAGGCGGCCUGCUAAGUCGAACGUGAAAUCCCUGGGCUCAACCCAGGAACUGCGUCCGAUACUGGUUGGCUUGAAUCCGGGAGAGGGAUGUGGAAUUCCAGGUGUAGCGGUGAAAUGCGUAGAUAUCUGGAGGAACACCGGUGGCGAAGGCGACAUCCUGGACCGGUAUUGACGCUGAGGCGCGAAGCCAGGGAGCAACGG
rnacentral:rRNA from 1 species